AACCUUCAAAUGGGCGCAGAACAACUGGGCUUGCCCUAUUAGCGGCGAGUGAAGCGGCAACAGCUCAAAUUUGAAAUCUGGCUCUUUCCGAGUCCGAGUUGUAAUUUGCAGAGGGCGCUUUGGCUUUGGCAGCGGUCCAAGUUCCUUGGAACAGGACGUCACAGAGGGUGAGAAUCCCGUACGUGGUCGCUAGCUAUUGCCGUGUAAAGCCCCUUCGACGAGUCGAGUUGUUUGGGAAUGCAGCUCUAAAUGGGAGGUAAAUUUCUUCUAAAGCUAAAUAUUGGCCAGAGACCGAUAGCGCACAAGUAGAGUGAUCGAAAGAUGAAAAGCACUUUGGAAAGAGAGUCAAACAGCACGUGAAAUUGUUGAAAGGGAAGCGCUUGCAGCCAGACUUGCUUGCAGUUGCUCAUCCGGGCUUUUGCCCGGUGCACUCUUCUGUAGGCAGGCCAGCAUCAGUUUGGGCGGUGGGAUAAAGGUCUCUGUCACGUACCUCUCUUCGGGGAGGCCUUAUAGGGGAGACGACAUACCACCAGCCUAGACUGAUCUAUGCGAGUGUUUGGGUGUCAAGCCCGAGCGCGUAAUGAAAGUGAACGGAGGUGGGAACCCGCAAGGGUGCACCAUCGACCGAUCCUGAAGUUUACGGAAGGAUUUGAGUAAGAGCAUGGCUGUUGGGACCCGAAAGAUGGUGAACUAUGCUUGAAUAGGGUGAAGCCAGAGGAAACUCUGGUGGAGGCUCGCAGCGGUUCUGACGUGCAAAUCGAUCGUCAAAUUUGGGCAUAGGGGCGAAAGACUAAUCGAAACUAUCUAGUAGCUGGUUCCUGCCGAAGUUUCCCCUCAGGAAA
rnacentral:rRNA from 1 species